UACGUAGGGGGCAAGCGUUGUCCGGAUUUACUGGGCGUAAAGGGCGUGCAGGCGGUCUGUUAAGUCUAGGGUGAAAGCUCCCGGCUUAACUGGGAGAGGUCCUUGGAUACUGGCGGACUUGAGGGAGGCAGAGGAAAGUGGAAUUCCCGGUGUAGUGGUGAUAUGCGUAGAUAUCGGGAGGAACACCAGUGGCGAAGGCGGCUUUCUGGGCCUUACCUGACGCUGAGGAGCGAAAGCGUGGGGAGCGAACAGG
rnacentral:rRNA from 1 species